ensembl:lncRNA
CAACGAGAAGGACAAUAACUCUCACACUUGACUCCAUCGCAGAGUUAAACGGAGACGCUCAUGACCAAAUAUCCCUGCUGCUGUGUCUCCUCACAAGCUGUCCGUCAAAGAAACACUUUUUAAAAAACGAGAGGAAAAAAUAUCAUAAAUACUUAGAAUUCAGACUGGAACUAACUCUGACCCAUAAAAGCACGGGCUUAGUCCAAAACGCACCGAAGCUGCAGAGGAACGACUCAGGGAGUUAUACUGUCGACUCUAAAACAGGAAACGAUUUCACAUCAU